rnacentral:misc_RNA from 1 species
GAUGAAGAACGUAGCGAAAUGCGAUAAGUAAUGUGAAUUGCAGAAUUCAGUGAAUCAUCGAAUCUUUGAACGCACAUUGCGCCCGCCAGUAUUCUGGCGGGCAUGCCUGUUCGAGCGUCAUUUCAACCAUCAAGCCCCCGGCUUGUGUUGGGGACCUGCGGCUGCCGCAGGCCCUGAAAACCAGUGGCGGGCUCGCUAGUCACUCCGAGCGUAGUAAUACAUCUCGCUCAGGGCGUGCUGCGGGUUCCGGCCGUUAAAAAGCCUUAUUUACCCAAGGUUGACCUCGGAUCAGGUAGGAAGACCCGCUGAACUUAAGCAUAUCAAAAAGCGGAGGA